GAUUUCUGUCCUUUCUUCUACUCACUCAAAUAGUCUUCCUCCUCACAAUAAACCUCCUUCCUUGACCUUCCUACAGUCCUUCUCCUUCGCCAGUUCCUGUUUAUUGUUUAUAUUUUGUUAAUUAAUCAUAUUUCUUCUUUUUCAGGUAAACUCACAGCUUAUCAUCACCGUCAUCACCGUGGCGCCAAGUGACGGUACGGUGAACGGUGCUGUUCUUCAAUCGUCGUGCGCAGCUGGUGUUUUUGGAUAGGCUUCAAAUAAACGUUGAUUUUCGGCCCUAACGCACUAAAUUA